rnacentral:rRNA from 1 species
UAGGGAAUCUUCCACAAUGGACGCAAGUCUGAUGGAGCAACGCCGCGUGAGUGAAGAAGGUUUUCGGAUCGUAAAGCUCUGUUGUUGGUGAAGAAGGAUAGAGGCAGUAACUGGUCUUUAUUUGACGGUAAUCAACCAGAAAGUCACGGCUAACUACGUGCCAGCAGCCGCGGUAAUACGUAGGUGGCAAGCGUUGUCCGGAUUUAUUGGGCGUAAAGCGAGCGCAGGCGGAAUGAUAAGUCUGAUGUGAAAGCCAACGGCUCAACCGUGGAACUGCAUCGGAAACUGUCAUUCUUGAGUGCAGAAGAGGAGAGUGGAAUUCCAUGUGUAGCGGUGGAAUGCGUAGAUAUAUGGAAGAACACCAGUGGCGAAGGCGGCUCUCUGGUCUGCAACUGACGCUGAGGCUCGAAAGCAUGGGUAGCGAACAGG